rnacentral:siRNA from 1 species
CAAUAAUAUGUGUCAUCUU